UUUAUUAAGAGUUUGAUCCUGGCUCAGGAUGAACGCUGGCGGCGUGUUUAACACAUGCAAGUCGAGCGAGAAGCUCCUCAGUUGAUUCUUCGGAUGAAACAGAGGGGUGGAAAGCGGCGGACGGGUGAGUAACGCGUAGGCAACCUGCCCCUUGCAGAGGGAUAGCCUCGGGAAACCGGGAUUAAAACCUCAUAAUGCGUAUCCUAGACAUCUUAGAUACGCCAAAGAUUUAUCGGCAAGGGAUGGGCCUGCGUCUGAUUAGCUAGUUGGUGGGGUAACGGCCUACCAAGGC
rnacentral:rRNA from 1 species